rnacentral:rRNA from 1 species
AUUGAACGCUGGCGGCAUGCCUUACACAUGCAAGUCGAACGGCAGCACGGGUGCUUGCACCUGGUGGCGAGUGGCGAACGGGUGAGUAAUAUAUCGGAACGUACCUUAUUGUGGGGGAUAACGCAGCGAAAGCUGUGCUAAUACCGCAUAAUCCCUAAGGGGGAAAGCGGGGGACCGUAAGGCUCGCGCAAUUAGAGCGGCCGAUACCUGAUUAGCUAGUUGGUGAGGUAAAGGCUCACCAAGGCAACGAUCAGUAGCUGGUCUGAGAGGACGAUCAGCCACACUGGGACUGAGACACGGCCCAGACUCCUACGGGAGGCAGCAGUGGGGAAUUUUGGACAAUGGGGGCAACCCUGAUCCAGCAAUGCCGCGUGAGUGAAGAAGGCCUUCGGGUUGUAAAGCUCUUUUGUCAGGGAAGAAACAGCAGCUCUAACACAGUAUGCGAAUGACGGUACCUGAAGGAUAAGCACCGGCUAACUACGUGCCAGCAGCCGCCGUAA